rnacentral:lncRNA from 1 species
UUCUUUUUCGGAAGCUCAUCCUUAAAGAACUCCGGGGUUAAGCGUGCUUGGCCCGGAGCAAUUUUUGGAUGGGUGACCGACUGGGAAGUUCUUCCCGGGUGCGCACGAGUGAGGACAAAGUGCGCAGAAAAGACUUGUGUUGGUCUGUGAGGGAAUUCUUGAUAUUCUAGAGAGCUGCCAGGUGUAAGCGGACCCGGCCCCGGGGGGCGGGACGCCACAGUUGGUAUCAGAGCCGACUCUCGCGGUUUCACGGGCGCGUGCGGUCGCAGUUGCGCAGGCAUGGUGUGCAUGGCUGGUGUGGGCUCAGAGUGGUCAUACAGCAUGGCACAUGCGCUGGCACUGGACACACGGACGUGGCCAAGAGGGGACGUUCCUGGCUUGGGGAUGACCGACGAGGGCGUCGGUCUUCUAAGGGGGUGAGUAUGUGACAUCCUGGCCCAAGGCUUAAUAGGAUUGAUAGAAUAUUCAUACCAACAAGUUGCAACUUCUUUUCCGGAAGCUCAUCCUUAAAGAACUCCGAGGUUAAGCGUGCUUGGCCCGGAGCAAUUUCGGGAUGGGUGACCGACCGGGAAGUUCUUCCCGGGUGCGCACGAGUGAGGAUAAAGUGCGCAGAAAAGACUUGUGUUGGUCUGUGAGGGAAUUCUUGAUAUUCUAGAGAGCUGCCAGGUGUAAGCGGACCCGGCCCCGGGGGCGGGACGCCACACUACCCCUGUUUCCCUUUAGUGGCAUCAGAACCGUCUUGCAUAGUUUUUGGUCUGGAUCUUGCACAUAUAGGUGAUAUGUGAUGGUAGUAGAUGUGAUCUUUUAUGGUUAGGUUCAUGUGAUGGAUCUUUUGAUGCACGGCUUGAUUAGAUCAAUUGGUCAUAAGGGGAUGGAAUAGGUUCGACUAGAUUGCAUUAUGUGACCAAAAAGAUUAGUCCGUGCUCCUUCUUUAUUGUGCACGUGACUUGUCCCCACCGGUUGGAAUCACCAUCAGGGCAUGCAGAAAACAUUGGAUGAGUUGCAUGGCAUGCUGAAGACAUUUGAGGAAAGCAUUAAAACCCUACUCAUGUGAUGAUGGUUCAGAAGGAGAACAAAAAGAGGAAGUGUUGGACGCCUCCCAAAGGCAAAUGCAAGGGAAAGGUCAUUCCCAAUGAGUGAUGAGGACAUCAC